rnacentral:tRNA from 1 species
CCAAAAUGCAAAUUUGGAAACACACCCCCAAUGGUGUCGGGGCUUCUCCCG